AGGAAAGGAGUAGAAGAAACGCAUCCCAGAUCCAACAGCACUCUGGAAUGUGUCUGAGCAGAGCCUACCAUCCACUUAAGAAAUGGCAUUGAUUAUUGAGCGCAGGAUAUGUUUCCAGCCCCCUAUAACUGUCACCAGUGGGCAAACUGGC